rnacentral:rRNA from 1 species
GCCGCGGUAAUUCCAGCUCCAAUAGCGUAUAUUAAAGUUGUUGCAGUUAGAACGCUCGUAGUCGGAUUUCGGGGCGAGCCUUCCGGUCUGCCGAUGGGUAUGCACUGGUAGGGUCGUCCUUCCUUCCGGAGACCGUUCCUACUCUUAACUGAGCGGGGUCGGGAGACGGAAUUUUUACUUUGAAAAAAUCAGAGUGUUUCAAGCAGGCAGCUCGCUCUUGCAUGGAUUAGCAUGGGAUAAUGAAAUAGGACUUUGGUGCUAUUUUGUUGGUUUCGAGCACCGAAGUAAUGAUGAGAAGGGACAGUCAGGGGCACUCGUAUUCCGCCGAGAGAGGUGAAAUUCUCAGACCAGCGGAAGACGAACCACUGCGAAAGCAUUUGCCAGGGAUGUUUUCACUGAUCAAGAACGAAAGUUAGGGGAUCGAAGACGAUCAGAUACCGUCGUAGUCUUAACCAUAAACCAUGCCGACUAGGGAUUGGGGGAUGUUCACUGAUUGACUUCCUCAGCACCUUACGGGAAACUAAAGUCUUUGGGUUCCGGGGGGAGUAUGGCCGCAAGGCUGAAACUUAAAGGAAUUGACGGAAGGGCACCACCAGGUGUGGAGCCUGCGGCUUAAUUUGACUCAACACGGGGAAACUUACCAGGUCCAGACAUUGUGAGGAUUGACAGAUUGAGAGCUCUUUCUUGAUUCGAUGGGUGGUGGUGCAUGGCCGUUCUUAGUUGGUGGAGUGAUUUGUCUGGUUAAUUCCGUUAACGAACGAGACCUUAGCCUGCUAAAUAGUGACGCGAACACUUUGUUCGUGGGCCACUUCUUAGAGGGACAACUUGUCUUCAACAAGUGGAAGUUUGAGGCAAUAACAGGUCUGUGAUGCCCAGGCGAAUCGUUAACCUGCAGACU